ACCAGCAGUACAAAACUAUGGAGCUAAUUCUCCAUUUACAACAGGAGUCAUUCAAGGCAUCACAGAAGGCAAUCGACUUAUUCCUACUGAUUGGUCAUUGUUAGCAAGAACAGUUGUAUCUCCAAGUGAGUUCUUACAAUUUAAAACAUGGUGGCAAGAUCAUGCAGAAACAGCAGCUGCCCAUAAUAGAGCUCAUAACAUUCCUAUUUCCAUGGAACAGCUCAUGGGUCUUGGGCCAUGGGCCCAGGUGCAAGACCAGGUACUAAUGAACGAUCAAGCUAUUGAGCAGCUCCGGCGUUGCUGUUCGAGAGCCUGGGAGAGAAUAGAAUCUCAGGGAGAUAAGUGCUCUUCUUUUCAAAAAGUGGUACAAGGUCCAAAAGAACCCUAUACUGAUUUUAUUGCAAGAUUACAAGAGGCUGUCAAAAGACAGAUUAAUCUUGAGGCUGCGGAUACCAUUAUGUAGCUGUUGGCUUAUGAGAAUGCUAAUGCUGAUUGUAAGAAAUUGAUAGCACCCUUCAAAGGCAAGGGAACAUUGAGAGAUUAUAUUAAGCUAUAUAUAUAUGAGCCUCCUUAAAAAGGAGUAGGAACAGAGACCUAUAAAGCUGAUUUGUUAGCUCAAGCAAUGGCUGCCCUUAACACAAGAGAAAUUACUUAUUUUGCAAGCCUUAGUGGAGGAACAGAUAGAAAAAGGACAUACUGAAGAAUCUCAUAGUCCUUGGAAUUCACCAGUUUUUGUUAUUAAGAAGAAAUCAAUUAAUGGCGGUUAUUGCAUUGUUGAAGACGUUCCUUCUGCAUUUAAUCUGCUAUCUGAUUCUUUAUAUACAGAUAUGUUUCACAGCAUAUCAAAACUACUACUGUUUCUACAUCUGAUGUAAUAUGAUCAACCUCAUCACUGUGGCUUCCUCAGAAGCACGCGAAAAUCCCUCCAACGACUGAAGAAUCAAACUGCAGAAUCAACUUUUCUACUUCUUCACAAGGGGGAGAUGGAAUUGCCCCUCGGAACAAUGUGUUACUUAAACUAGAACCCCUGGAGGAUUUUACUAGUUACCAAGCACAUUUAGAUAGGGCCUUAAGAAAAACAUAUACUGGCAACAGGUCUUUGGGGAGAAGGAUGAUAUACGACCGGGAAGCCAAGCACCCGGGAACGCCCGGUCAGCUCAGGGCAGAAGGAAAUACCGCCUGCUUCCCUUUUCCAUUAUCGCUCCUUUCUCUUCGCAGAAGCACCCGUUGUUAGAUGAGUCCUUUGUGCUUGGUUAACUAUAAAUUUUACCCUCCUUCUUGUUUGUCCACAAGACAUGUGACUAAUGUUUGACCUUCAUCGUUUCUUCUGUUGGCUUUUGUUUCUAUCUAAUAAAAGUGAGACUGUGGAGUU